AGGGAAGCUCUAUGCUCCCAAAAGGCAACAGGGAGAUGGGGGAGGCUCCCUUGCCUGGUUUCUUAGAUUGCUUCUGUUGCCUUUUGGCAGCCUGGGCCCUGUGGCUGUUUUAGCUGCAGGUGAUGCAACCCCAGCAGCUGGACUUGAGGCUGUCUCUGCACAGAGCAGCAGGUGAACAGCCCUGUGGAGCCCCCGCCCCGCCAUGCAGCAACUGCUCCAGCCUCACAGCUGGCUCCCUCAGGAAGGCCUUCACUGGCAUUCCUACAUCCCUGGAGGAGGGACCUGCAGUGGCUCCACCACACUGAGUAGACCAUGCCGGAGGACACGCCAUGAAAGGAUAUUUCUGUGGCGUUUAACAGUGUGUCCUGUAUUUCACCUGACAACCCCAAAAUGGAACUCAGUCUCAGCGUGGUGGCUAAAAGCAAAGCUUCUGGAGCCAGACUUCUCAGAGUCGGGAUUCUGGUCUUCUGUGUGACCUUGGGCAACUAUUCUGUGCUCAGUUUCCUCAUCAUCAACAGACAAGUAAUAGUGUUUAUGUUAUAGGUUGUUGUGAGAAUUAAAUAACUACAGUGCAUAUAAAGCACUUAGAAGAGUUCUGGGCACAGCGCUGU
rnacentral:lncRNA from 1 species